UAUGUUUGGAGAAGGCAAGUUUUAGGUUGUUGAGACAGUGACGUGGAUAAUUAUUCCGAUUUUCGAUAAAGUUUCAAGUGACAAAGAUACAAUCGAUUUGAGUCGAAUCGAAUCGAAUCGAAUCGAAUUGGGUCGGAAUGAAUGGAUCGAGAUAAAUUCGAGACUGAUAUUCGACAUGCGGCGAAAUUCAGAACCAUUUCCUACGUUCGAGUAAGACGGUUGCUUGCGUGUGGUGAUAUUCUUCGAUAAUUCUUAUCGCGCAACAAUCGUUCGUCCAGCGAACAUUUGAUCUUGAGAAAAAGUAAAUUUUACGGCCGUCAAAAUUUUACGAAGAAAGAAGUAUGAAUAUUAACUCCAGUCUACCAUUAAGUAAUUGUGAAAGUAGUAAAAAGGGCUUAAUAAUGCCAAGUCUAAUAUCCAGCAAUUGUGAAAUGUCAAAUAAGUGUAUGGAUGAAAGUUUAGAAGAAGGUUGCACACUGCAACAACAUUAUUGUAUAACGCUGGGCGUAGGGCCUCUGUGGUGGUCCUGAUGUGCCCCAUGCCGCAUUGUCUGUAUCUACAGUCAACACAGAGAGCCGCGGCGUGGGGAUCAAGCAAAGUCAGCUCUCUGUGAGCUCCCAUAUUGUACAAGAGGAUGAAUUAUUGAAAGCCGUGAGAAAUAGCGAAUCUUUACGCCUGACUUUUACUUUACACUUGACCGAGAGCACAUCCGUCGAGUGGGAAACAGUAGUGUGGCGCCGUUGUCUCUAUAUUCGCGUACCAAGUUGUCUCUUACCAGAAGG